rnacentral:lncRNA from 1 species
UGAUUGAUGGAGCAGCAGAUGCAGUUACUAACAUUUCUUCUGAAAAGCCAGUGACUGUGCCAUGAGAAAAUGAAGCACGUCAGCCCAGGCUCUCCAAAAGGUGAGGGAAUCUCCUUUCAGGGACCUAAUAAUUAUACAAGAUUCUGAGCUUUGAAACAAAUCCUUUCAUUAAGAGUGUACAUAUUAUAUUGUGUUCUGUCUAAACCGGUUUCAUGGUGUGUGUUGUUUCAAAUUUUAUGGCUUAUAGAACUAGAAGGAUUUCCAAUUCCCUCAUUUUGUAGGCUAACAGGUCCAGUGACAAAUGACAGGAAGAGUUUUUUUAAGUCAGUAAUUUAUGUUGGUAGAAGGAGAGAAUUUGACAUAUUGUUGCUUGGUUUUUUGUUUUUUUUUCCCCCUAAUGGAGAAAUUCUUUUCUUUCUGGUAUCACACUGCCUGCAUGGCGACCUAGGAAGUCUAAAGUAUGUUCCAAUCUCAGGUUCAUUCCAUCUCUCUCUGUUUCAUAGACUUCUACCUUGUAUAUUCUGAGUCCCUUUUCUCUCAAAAGGUGGUUUGACAUUUCCUACUCUAGCUCAUUUUACAGAUGAGGGAAUUUAGGCAAACAGAGUUAAGUGACUUGCCUAGGGCCAUCCAGCUAGUAAGAGUCUGAGGGCAGAUUCGAACUCAGGGAGAUGAAGGUCCCUUAUUCCUGGCCCAGUGCUCUAUCCAUAGCACCAUCUAGCCACCCUGGGAUUUUAAUUUAGGUCCUGUGACAACUGAGGCUCUACAACUCCAAGUUCAGCCCUGUUUCCACUGCACCAUACUCUGAACUUAAUAAGUUAUGAUUAAAUGUUCAUUGAUGAUGAUGAUAAUGAUAUUUGCUUAACAAAGUUGAUGAUGUAUUUUUGUGGCUGGGGGAGUGUGUGUUUUGGUAGUUCCCUCUGCAGAGUGGCCCUCUAUGUACACUUGCUAUCAACCACUCUAGUGUCUAGGGGUGGGUGGGGGAUGGUUGCCAGGAAAGGGGAUGUGAUAGCAAUGCAUCAUUUCUAUUUAAAGACAGCUUUAAUUAGACAGUGGACUGAAGACCAAAAGCAAGGUGCAUCAAAGACUGAAGGCAAGAGGCAAUUGAGGCAAAAGCACUAA